rnacentral:tRNA from 3 species
GUGCCUGUAGCUCAACGGCAGAGCGCUUCACUGUGGAUGAAGAGGUUGAGGGUUCGAAACCGUCCAGGCACCCCA